GAUGAACGCUAGCGGCAGGCCUAAUACAUGCAAGGCGAAGGGGCAGCAAUACACAGUGGCGCACGGGUGCGUAAGACGUAUGCAACCUACCUUAACUUGGGGGCUCGCCUUUCGAAAGGGAGAUUCAUACCGCAUAAGACAGGUACUGGGCAUCCUGUUGCUGUUAAAGAUUUUUCGAUGUACGCUGGGCAUGCGUCCAAUUAGUUAGUUGGCGAGGUAAUGGCUCACCAAGACGAUGAUUGGUAGGGGAACUGAGAGGUCGAUCCCCCACACUGGCACUGAGAUACGGGCCAGACUCCUACGGGGGGCAGCAGUAGGGAAUAUUGGGCAAUGGGCGCAAGCCUGACCCAGCCAUGCCGCGUGCAGGAAGAAGGCGUUAUGCGUUGUAAACUGCUUUUAUACAGGAAGAAACGACCCUUGCGAGGGGCAUUGACGGUACUGUAUGAAUAAGCACCGGCUAACUCCGUGCCAGCAGCCGCAGUAAUAC
rnacentral:rRNA from 1 species